rnacentral:rRNA from 1 species
GAUGAACGCUGGCGGCGUGCUUAACACAUGCAAGUCGAACGGUGAACGAGGGAGCUUGCUCCCUCCGGAUCAGUGGCGAACGGGUGAGUAACACGUGAGCAAUCUGCCCUGGACUCUGGGAUAAGCGUUGGAAACGACGUCUAAUACCGGAUACGAGGCGUGGGGGCAUCCCCAACGCCUGGAAAGAACUUCGGUCCAGGAUGAGCUCGCGGCCUAUCAGCUUGUUGGUGAGGUAACGGCUCACCAAGGCGACGACGGGUAGCCGGCCUGAGAGGGUGACCGGCCACACUGGGACUGAGACACGGCCCAGACUCCUACGGGAGGCAGCAGUGGGGAAUAUUGCACAAUGGGCGCAAGCCUGAUGCAGCAACGCCGCGUGAGGGACGACGGCCUUCGGGUUGUAAACCUCUUUUAGCAGGGACGAAGCGAAAGUGACGGUACCUGCAGAAGAAGCACCGGCUAACUACGUGCCAGCAGCCGCAGUAACAC